UAGUUUGGGUUUCUCUUCAUUCAAGCACAAAUCUUUUGCCCUUACUAACGAUUUCCGUGGAGGGCAACGUUGACGAGUUCUUCUUUUUUUUUUGAAGGCUCUGCUAUGGCAGAGCU
ensembl:snRNA U5 U5 spliceosomal RNA